rnacentral:rRNA from 1 species
UACGUAGGGUGCGAGCGUUAAUCGGAAUUACUGGGCGUAAAGCGUGCGCAGGCGGUUUUGUAAGCCAGAUGUGAAAGCCCCGGGCUCAACCUGGGAAUGGCAUUUGGGACUGCAAGGCUGGAGUUUGGCAGAGGAGACUGGAAUUCCUGGUGUAGCAGUGAAAUGCGUAGAUAUCAGGAGGAACACCGACGGCGAAGGCAGGUCUCUGGGCUGAAACUGACGCUCAAGCACGAAAGCGUGGGGAGCAAAC